AGGAAUAAUUUGAUUGCGAUGCACUUUUUGCAUCCAAUUCAUUGACAUAAGGGAAAUCUGAAAGUUAAUUUAAGCGGACCUAAUUAACUUGGAGUGUUGAGUAUUCAUGGUUUAUUGAAUUGCAAUUAGAAAUCGUUUUGUAUGCAAAUGUGACAUGUGUGGAGAAGAACCCCUUAGCUAGCUUUCCAUCCAUUCAGUUUUAUUAAUUUCAUUUUACAAUCUGUUUGGUUUGCUUAGUUUCUGUUUUGUCUUAAUUUUCGUCAAAAUCAAUUCCCCAUUUAUUUUAAAGUGUUAGAUUAGUUAGAAAUCAAUUUAGUUUGUGUUUUUAAGUGUCUUGAGUCAAAUUAUAGUGUAAUUUCGUCCAAAUUAGUGUUAGGUGCUCAAAACUGCCCAGUAAGUGUUUUUAAGGCAGUUUGGAGUGUUUAUUUGCUGUUUUGAGUCUUUUGGUUUAUUUUGGUGUUUUAAAGUUUAGUUUUGCAUUCUUUGAGUCUAGUUUAGUGUUUUAAACUUGUUUUUACGUAGUUGAGUCAGUUUUUAAGUGAUUUAGCAAUCCCUCCUAAUCCCCGGCCUAGAACGAUCCCUACUUACAUACUUGCUACAAUUGAUAAAAAGAGGGUUUAAUUUGUGUGCUUAUAUAUUUCACACCAAGCAUGUCGUGGAUGACAUACCCUUGGAUGCCGUGGGCCCUAAUGAGGAGUAAAUGAGGUCUUCGUCCGGCUGUACGACGUUAAAGCAAGCGCUACUUGGGAGGCAACCCAUGCAUUCGACAAAGGAAGACCUAGAGAGCACUCCAAUUCCAGAUUUGCGUUUCUAAACCCUUCUCUUUGUUGUUAUUUCGUUUCUGCCAUGUUAGAUUGUUUAGUUGCUGUUUUCUUUGUUUGUUGGUUAUUUGUGUUAGUUUAAGCUUGAAACAUUGAGGACAAUGUUUGAUUUAAGUGUGGGGGGGUAACGAAAGUGUUUUGAUGCAAAUUCGUAGGGUUUUCUCACUCAUAACUUCCAAUGUUGUUUCUUGCUGUUUUUAAGUGUUUUUAAGCUGUUUUGGUGUGUUUUAGUGUGUUUUGACUUAAAAUCCGAAAAUCCCAUAAAAAUUUGAAAAAUUGUUUUGAAAAACCCAAAAAGAGUUGUUUUUGUGUGUUUGUUUGUAUCUUAGGGUACCUUCCAACACAAUGAUGAGGAUUCGGUUUGUAAUUGCAUGACUGUUAAAGAGAGUUGUAAACAUGGAUGAAAGUUUGAUUUACUCUUUGGUUUAUGCUUGGUUUUGGUUAUAACUUAUGAAUUCACAUGUAAUCAUAAAGAAAAGAAAAAAAAAAUUAGUUUUUGUAACAUGCUUGAAGGAAGGAACUCAAACUAACACUACAACCCUGAGAGAUUUGAGCCUAAACUUUAUUUGGAGAGUUAUUAAUCUGUGAUUUCUUGUUUUCUAAAGUCGUUGCAUGAUCUCAUUAUUCUUUGCUUGGUUACUACUUAGAAGGCGUUUCAUCAUUUAGUCCCAAACACUAGAACUCAUGCCCAUUUCAUUCAAAGCACGCUAUUGAUUUGCAUAACACAUAUUCAAGAUGAAGUUGUGUAGUGACCACCAUUUAAGCCAAAUUGCCGUGUCCCCCAUGUUCAUUUGUUUUGUAGGUUUUAACCUCGUUGAGCCUUGGUUAGCCUAUAUUGUUGUUAACCCACAUUAUCCUCACCUAGCCUAGAUUAGGACCAUCCAUACCCUUGUUCUUGUAGCAUAGUAAAGCAUGACUCAAGAUGAAUUCCUUUUGAUCAGGUAUUGCAGAAAACAAGUGUGGGGGAAUUUGAUGUAUGUGUGUGCCAAAGUCUUUAAUGAGGCACGGGUAGAAAAAGAAAAAGAAAAUUCGUUGAAAAUAGAAAGAAAAAAAAAAGUUGUGAAAAAUAUGAAAAAGAGUUGAAAAAGAUGUGGAAAUGAGCUCUAAAGUGUUGGUUGUUGAAGAAAGGGUCCAAAACAUUGUAUUUGACCCUAAGUGUUGCAUGAACUUCCCCUUUGUGUUUAAGGUUGAUUUUUGCAUUCAAAAGGGAAUUCUAAGUGUCAAUAUCAUUGCUUGGCUUACUAUUGUUUUAAGAACAUUUGUUUAUCCUUUACCUUUCUUUGUUAGCCAAUACCCUUAGCCCCGUUACAACCCUUGACUUCCAUCUUGAGUGUUGUGUAUUUCAAUUUGUGGAGUUUGGAAGUGGUAUGAGCAUAUGGUGUCCCUGGUUCUCGCAUCUAAGUAGUGACAUUCCAAUCAUGAGAUCAUAUACAUGCUUAUUAACUCCAGAAAUUGCUUUCCUUGUUAUAUCAUAUGUGAGUACUAGUUUUCAUAUUUACAUCAAUCCUCUCACAUAUAACUAGUAUAGGGUGUGUAGUCAGAAAAUCUGUGUGAAAAUUGAGUGCAUAUCUAGUAAGGAAUUGAGCAAAUUCUCUAAGGCAUGUUACUACAUUCAAAACAUCGUUUUAAAUGGUUAAAUGUGAACUAGUAAGUGGUGACUAUGAUUAAGUAUGUGCUUAAGUGUGAAGAUGACUAAAAUCUGUGGGAGUGAUGAUUUUUAACAUGUCAUGUGCAUUGGAAAUCCCUGAGGCAAAUGUUGGAAGGUUUAGAUUAUGUUUUUGUUUUGUUUUGCUCGAGGACUAGCAAAAGCUAAGUGUUGCUCGAGGACUAGCAAAAGCUAAGUGUGGGGGAAUUUGAUAGGAGCAUAUUUAUGCGACUUAGUGGGCUUGUUCUUGUGCAUUUAUGUUGUUUUUCUUUAGUUAUUUUAGUGUUUAAAGUCAUUUUCGUGCAAUUUCAGGUUUUAGAGACAAAGUAUGCAAAGAAGUGCAAAAUGGAGCAUUUUAGAGCAAAAUUGAGCUGGAAUGGAGUGUAUGCUUAUGGAGCACAAGGAAUGGACGAGUUUGAAGGUCAAAAGAGCUUAAGAAAUGAAGAAAUGAAAGUGAAGAACAAAGAAUUCAGAAUUGGAAACCAAAGUUUCUAAAGUUGGAAGUUUCUAUUCUUGGAGGUUUCCAUUUUUGAGAGUUUUUAUUCUUGGCUUUGGGCUUUUAGAUGACCUAUCCGUACCCUCUUAGACUUGGGCCGCACCUUCCUAGCCCAAUCCCUCUUGGAUUCUGACUUGUUAGGCCCUUUCCUUGUGGAUUUGGGAUAUACAAAUCCCUUUCUAAAAACUAAGUGGGCCAAAACCCUAAUUCCUUGUGGAUUUUCACCCCUUGCUGCACCUAAACCCUAGCCCAUUGCCUAACCUGAUUUCUCUAGGGUUUGUGGUGCCUAUAUAUAUAUAUGUUUUCACUCUAUGCCGUGGAGACCACCCCUCCAUAUUCAGAAUUUUCGCCAAAAAUGAUUCCCUCUCUUUGCCGCAGCCUUCCUUCACCAUUCUUCCAUAUUUUUCUGAUUCUUUUUACCCUAGCCGUACCCCCCAUAAAUCCUAAACCCUUCCAUACCAUUCCCUACC
rnacentral:lncRNA from 1 species